CAUACACACACACACUGCGCCCCUCACACAUACAAUACGUCAAAAUAUAUAUAUAUAUAUUUGGACGUAUUGUAUGUGUGAGGGGCGCAGUGUGUGUGUGUAUG